CGUCCGUUUGGUGGUGGGGAGUAGCGGCACGCCCGGGUAAUACCGCAUACGGUCAUCUGGGGGAGUCCCUGGGUGAAGAAACCUCCGGGGCACAAAGAGGGGCUCGCGGCCUAUCAGCUAGUUGGGGGGGUAAUGGCCCACCAAGGCGACGACGGGUAGCUGGUCUGAGAGGAUGGCCAGCCACAUUGGGACUGAGAGACGGCCCAG
rnacentral:rRNA from 1 species